rnacentral:rRNA from 1 species
AUUGAACGCUGGCGGAAUGCUUUACACAUGCAAGUCGAACGGCAGCACGGGUGCUUGCACCUGGUGGCGAGUGGCGAACGGGUGAGUAAUAUAUCGGAACGUAUCCAAUAAUGGGGGAUAACUAAUCGAAAGGUUGGCUAAUACCGCAUACGCCCUACGGGAGAAAGCAGGGGAUCUUCGGACCUUGCGUUAAUGGAGCGGCCGAUAUCUGAUUAGCGAGUAGGUGGGGUAAAGGCUCACCUAGGCGACGAUCAGUAGCUGGUCUGAGAGGACGACCAGCCACACUGGGACUGAGACACGGUCCAGACUCCUACGGGAGGCAGCAGUGGAGAAUUUUGGACAAUGGGCGCAAGCCUGAUCCAGCCAUUCCGCGUGAGUGAAGAAGGCCUUCGGGUUGUAAAGCUCUUUCGCAAGGGAAGAAACGAUACAGUCUAAUAAACUGUGUUAAUGACGGUACCUUGAUAAGAAGCACCGGCUAACUACGUGCCAGCCGCCGCGGUAA